GCUGCCCAUCCGUCACCCUGAAACCUCCAUUGAUUUCACAUCACAUAAUCAUAAUCAGCCAUGGAAAAGGAUGCGAUUCCUGCAGCUCCGAUCUGUGCAAACACAAGAUCUCUCUGGAAAAGGAGUCUCCUCGAAUUGAACGGAAGACCUGGACGGAGUUACAUUCGUCAGGCCUCUCCGUUGCUGUUGCAAUCAUAUGCUGAGAUUGUGGCAUUUCCUCAUAUGCAUAAUAUAUCGGAAUCACCGUGUACAACAUCUAUUAGACAACUCAAUUUCUCUGACGCG